AUUGAACGCUGGCGGCAGGCUUAACACAUGCAAGUCGAGCGGUAACAGAGAGAAGCUUGCUUCUCUGCUGACGAGCGGCGGACGGGUGAGUAAUGCCUAGGAAUCUGCCUAGUAGUGGGGGAUAACUUGCCGAAAGGUAAGCUAAUACCGCAUACGUCCUACGGGAGAAAGGAGGGGACCUUCGGGCCUUUCGCUAUUAGAUGAGCCUAGGUCGGAUUAGUUAGUUGGUGAGGUAAUGGCUCACCAAGACCGCGAUCCGUAACUGGUCUGAGAGGAUGAUCAGUCACACUGGAACUGAGACACGGUCCAGACUCCUACGGGAGGCAGCAGUGGGGAAUAUUGGACAAUGGGGGGAACCCUGAUCCAGCCAUGCCGCGUGCGUGAAGAAGGUCUUAGGAUUGUAAAGCACUUUAAGUUGGGAGGAAGAGCAGUUAACUAAUAUUUGACUGUUUUGACGUUACCGACAGAAUAAGCACCGGCUAACUUCGUG
rnacentral:rRNA from 1 species